rnacentral:rRNA from 1 species
GAAAUGCGAUAAGUAAUGUGAAUUGCAGAAUUCAGUGAAUCAUCGAAUCUUUGAACGCACCUUGCGCCUCUUGGUAUUCCGAGAGGCAUGCCUGUUUGAGUGUCAUUAAAUUCUCAACCUCAAAAACUUUCUGUUUGAUGAGGCUUGGAUGGUGGAGGCUUUGCUGGCUCUUUCUUGGAGUUAGCUCCUCUAAAAUGCAUUAGUGGAAACUGUUUGUAAAUCCGCGUUAGUGUGAUAAUUAUCAGCGCUACUGUGGCUUACAAGCUUGUUGUAGAGUUCGUUAGGAAAGUGCAUGAAUAAUGCUCUCUCUGUUUUUACUUGACCUACACAAGUAUAGUAUUCGCUUCGAACUGUCCUAAGUCACUGGACAAUACUUGAUUAUUUUGACCUCAAAUCAGGUAGGACUACCCGCUGAACUUAA